rnacentral:rRNA from 1 species
CCUACGGGAGGCAGCAGUGGGGAAUAUUGCACAAUGGGCGCAAGCCUGAUGCAGCGACGCCGCGUGAGGGAUGACGGCCUUCGGGUUGUAAACCUCUUUCAGCAGGGACGAAGCGCAAGUGACGGUACCUGCAGAAGAAGCACCGGCCAACUACGUGCCAGCAGCCGCGGUAAUACGUAGGGUGCAAGCGUUGUCCGGAAUUACUGGGCGUAAAGAGCUCGUAGGCGGUUUGUCGCGUCGUCUGUGAAAACCAGCAGCUCAACUGUUGGCUUGCAGGCGAUACGGGCAGACUUGAGUAUUUCAGGGGAGACUGGAAUUCCUGGUGUAGCGGUGAAAUGCGCAGAUAUCAGGAGGAACACCGGUGGCGAAGGCGAGUCUCUGGGAAAUAACUGACGCUGAGGAGCGAAAGCGUGGGUAGCGAACAGGAUUAGAUACCCUGGUAGUCCACGCCGUAAACGGUGGGCGCUAGGUGUGGGUUUCCUUCCACGGGAUCCGUGCCGUAGCUAACGCAUUAAGCGCCCGCUGGGGAGUACGGCCGCAAGGCUAAAACGUCAAAUUGAAAUUGACGG